CGGGGUGUAGCUCAGUUGGUUAGAGUGCGCGCUUUGGGAGCGUGAGGUCGUGAGUUCGAGUCUCACCACCCCGACAA
rnacentral:tRNA from 1 species